ACUCGUUUUGUGCCCACAGGGUGUGUGGACGCAGUGCGUGUUAAGAUGCCUAACCUGGGAUGGAUGAAUGGUGAUUGAAUGAUGGAAAAGAGGGACAAAACGGGUCAGGUCGGAACAUGGAACA
rnacentral:SRP_RNA from 16 species